GCUAGCAUGGCGGAAUUGGUAGACGCGCUGUCUUGGAAAGGCAGUCCUCUCUGAGGGUGCAGGUUCAAGUCCUGUUGUUAGCGCCA
rnacentral:tRNA from 1 species